UUCUUGCUCAUUCUUGCUUGAAUCUUGUUCAUUGUCAACAUCAUCAUCACUUAAACAUUUAGUCCUUUUUAGAUUUGGAUCUAAUAUUUCUGCAUUACAAACAAAAAGAAAAAUAAUUUAUAAGAAGUAAUUUAUACAAACAAGUUAUUAUAGUGCCAUUCAUACAUUCCAAUAACCUAUUGUUUAAUAACCUACUCAUGUUAUAUAUGAUGAUUUUAUUAUUCUUUAGUGCUUCCUGAGGUGAAGAAAGAUUCCUAAAAUCACUGCGGAC
rnacentral:lncRNA from 1 species